CCUACGGGAGGCUGCAGUGGGGAAUAUUGGGCAAUGGAGGAAACUCUGACCCAGCAACGCCGCGUGAAUGAUGAAGGUCCUCGGAUUGUAAAGUUCUUUUCUAAGGGAAGAAGAAAGUGACGGUACCUUAGGAAUAAGCCUCGGCUAACUACGUGCCAGCAGCCGCGGUAAUACGUAGGAGGCGAGCGUUAUCCGGAAUGACUGGGCGUAAAGGGUGCGUAGGUGGUUUGGCAAGUUAGUAGCGUAACUCCAAGGCUCAACCUUGGAACUACUACUAAAACUGUUGGACUUGAGUGCAGGAGGGGCAACCGGAAUUCCUAGUGUAGCGGUGGAAUGCGUAGAUAUUAGGAGGAACAUCAGGGGCGAAGGCGACUUACUGGACUGUAACUGACACUGAGGCACGAAAGCGUGGGGAUCAAACAGGAUUAGAUACCCUUGUAGUC
rnacentral:rRNA from 1 species